CUUACAAAGUGUUGAUUUUUAACUGACUUCUACCUUAAAAUGUGCCCCAGCUUGAUAUUAAUAAUAAUAAUAAUAAAAAAUGUGAUUGCAAAUGUAAUAAUGUAAUAUUUUAAUGCUGAUCAUCUUUUGCGUUUACAUUAUAAAAGCUUUAAUAACAUUUACCCUUGUUACUUUGACGGAAAUGAAUGUGAAUAGCAAUGCAGGCUGCUUGAUAUUCAGUCUCCGGAGUCACAUGACUGCAUGGCAUCUGUAUUCCGGCAUGAGCAAUGUAUCUAACAUGUCGUUUCAAAGGAUUUUUAUGCAUACAUGAAAUGCAGUGACUGUGUAUUUCGCUUUAGUUCUGUUCCAGGGAAAGGGAUUUCUUCCUCUUUAUUCCCCCAGUCUUUCGCCGCAGACCCUGGAAUCCUCUCUGCUCAGCAGUUAUUGAAGUGAGGAGAAGGUACGUCUCCAUGGCAACCAGGGUGAAGCGUGUCCUGGUCAUAUUUACUGAAAUUCAUUCAGACGAGAUGACUUUUACACUGGAGAAAGCAAUAUUAUGGAUUAUGGACAUUUUAGCCGGAAACAACUGUUUGAAGUUAAAAACGUCUUAAUGAAGGAUUUUCCUCUUCCAGACAUGCAGCUUUUCACAGGACAUUUAUUGAUGGACUGAAGUCAUGUGGAUUACUUUGUGAUGUGUUUAUCGGCUGUUUGGACUCUCAUUCUGACGACACCCAUUGCAUUAUUCUUUUAGGUCCUGCGAUGAAACCUCUGAAACAUUUGGUGCACACCCGUCGAAAAGCUGUCAUCUCUUCUGGUGUCUGCAGAGGAGGAUCAAAGCGGGAACAGGCAGCCAACGAGAGAGAGGGAAAGAAAGAGAGAUUUCGGGGUGAACCAGAGGACGCAGCCUCUUCUGUUGAACAGGGUAACCCAGUUGCUGCCAGAUUGAAGGAAGUCUGCUUCUCUGUAAACAUAUUUAAUUAAGACAUCAAACUUCAAACCGUAUGAUGAAAAAGAAUGCCGAUAAGGAGAAAGAAGGUUUUGGGGUCGAACUGUGUGCCUCUGCUGCUUUUCUCUGAUUUAGAAACAGGCUUCUUUUGAUUAAAUAAUCAUUGUUUUGUAGAAUUGCAAGUUGCGGAUCAGACAUGUGCAUAGACACAGCAGAAAUUUAUUGAGAUGAUGCAGAAGUGCUGCUGUUUUUAAGACCUCUGAAUAAAACCUCUUUAGAUCAGGGGUGCUCA
ensembl:lncRNA